UGGUCCGUGGAGAGCAAGUCCAACUGGCAUGAGCGACACCAACGCGAAAGCACAAAGCCUGACUCCGGAGUGGCACUCGUGGGCGCUACCCAACCGAGUAUGCAGCGUAUCUCUGUCGAGCUCAAUCAGGCUCCAACUAGCCAAAGUCAAGUAAAUAGGGUCAAAACUAGUCUACAAACCAAACCCACGUGCCCUCGGCACAAUCUGUGACCAAAACAAGAAUCUGGGUCCACCGCUAACCCGAACGGCACCCAACGACCCGAAACAGCCUAUACUCUGCUGAAAAAUAAGCUCGGCACCCCAGCACGAGCGUAAAUGCCUUCUAAACUACCCCAGAUAUCCAUCGCACUGAUACUGCAACGAUACAAUCGAAUCACGGCUCCUAGAGCUAAAUCUGGUAGUUUAAGCAUAUGACGGGUCAAAACGCAGGUUUUCUCCUAAGUCAAAUUUCAAGUCCAACAUGUAUAAUUUAAAUAUUCAUUUCAGCAUACUUCUACAUUCAUAUUACAUUCAAGAUGCUAAUCGAUGAAUUAAAGCAUGAUAUACAAAAAUCGAACUAUACACAUCGACUAAACAUGCACUUAGGAGCGAAACCGAUGAUACACCCACCUCGAGAGCAAAUUCCUGGCAGCACGGAACUCCCUCAGCUGCGGCACAACCUGCUGGAUCGACUGA
rnacentral:lncRNA from 1 species